rnacentral:rRNA from 1 species
UACGAAGGGGGCGAGCGUUGUUCGGAAUUACUGGGCGUAAAGGGCGCGUAGGCGGCCGAGCAAGUUAGAUGUGAAAGUCCUGGGCUUAACCUGGGGACUGCAUUUGAUACUGCUUGGCUUGAAUUCGGGAGAGGAUAGCGGAAUUCCCAGUGUAGAGGUGAAAUCGUAGAUAUUGGGGAAGAACACCGGUGGCGAAGGCGGCUCACUGGCUCGUAACUGACGCUCAUGGCACGACAGCGUGGGGAUCAAACAGG